rnacentral:rRNA from 1 species
GACGUAGGGCGCGAGCGUUGUCCGGAUUUAUUGGGCGUAAAGAGCUCGUAGGCGGCUUGUUGCGUCGUCCGUGAAAACUUGUGGCUUAACCACAGGCUGGCGGUCGAUACGGGCAGGCUGGAGUUCGGUAGGGGAGACUGGAAUUCCUGGUGUAGCGGUGAAAUGCGCAGAUAUCAGGAGGAACACCGAUGGCGAAGGCAGGUCUCUGGGCCACUACUGACGCUGAGAAGCGAAAGCAUGGGGGAGCGAACAGG